UGAGGAAUAUUGGUCAAUGGGCGAGAGCCUGAACCAGCCAAGCCGCGUGAAGGAAGACGGCCCUAUGGGUUGUAAACUUCUUUUGUCGGGGAACAAAAGCCGAUUUGCGAAUUGGUCUGAGUGUACCCGAAGAAAAAGCAUCGGCUAACUCCGUGCC
rnacentral:rRNA from 1 species